rnacentral:rRNA from 1 species
GGAUCAUUGUUGAUGCGUACCAAAACAAGAUCGACCGAAGCGAACAUGUGACCCCUUGUUCUUUGCUUGCGUGCGAGGAUUGCCAUCUCGGUGGCUCUCCGAGCGCGUCGGGCACCAACGAACAAAAUCCCGGCGCAGUUCGCGCCAAGGAAUUUUCUUAAUUGAUUGUGGCGGUCUCGUCGCCCGUUUGCGCCUCGUGCGUCGGCGGGUGCGAGUCGGCGCAUCAAACUAUAAUGUCAAUACGACUCUCGGCAACGGAUAUCUCGGCUCUCGCAUCGAUGAAGAACGUAGCGAAAUGCGAUACUUGGUGUGAAUUGCAGAAUCCCGUGAACCAUCGAGUCUUUGAACGCAAGUUGCGCCCGAGGCCUUUUAGGUUGAGGGCACAUCUGCUUGGGCGUCAAACAUCACGUCGCUCCCCACACCACUGCCCAACGGGCAGACAAGGAUGGGUUUGCGGAGAUUGGUCGUCCGAGUGCCUCGAGCAUGCGGUUGGCUGAAAAGCUCUGGCCUUUGGUUGCACGCGGCUCAACAAGUGGUGGUUGUGGGCUCUUUUGGGCCGCGAUUGUCGGGAUGUUGUGUCGUGUUUUGCCCGUGUUGGCCAGCGAGGACCCUAUUCGAUCGACCUCCGCACUCCGGAGGCACGAAUCAGAUUGCGACCCCAAGUCAGG